rnacentral:rRNA from 1 species
UACGUAGGGGGCAAGCGUUGUCCGGAAUUAUUGGGCGUAAAGAGCGUGUAGGCGGCCAGAUAAGUCCGCUGUGAAAUCUCGAGGCUCAACUUCGAGCUGUCGGUGGAAACUGUCUGGCUAGAGUCCGGAAGAGGAGAAUGGAAUUCCUGGUGUAGCGGUGAAAUGCGCAGAUAUCAGGAAGAACACCCGUGGCGAAGGCGGUUCUCUGGGCCUGUACUGACGCUGAGGAGCGAAAGCGUGGGGAGCGAACAGG